GAGGGUAUAGCUCACUGGUAGAGUGCGUGCUUAGUGUGCACAAGGUCCUAGGUUCAAUCCCCAGUACCUCCA
rnacentral:tRNA from 1 species